rnacentral:rRNA from 1 species
GAUGAACGCUGGCGGCGUGCUUAACACAUGCAAGUCGAACGGAAAGGCCAGUGCUUGCACUGGUACUCGAGUGGCGAACGGGUGAGUAACACGUGGGUGAUCUGCCCUGCACUUCGGGAUAAGCCUGGGAAACUGGGUCUAAUACCGGAUAGGACAAUGGUUUGGAUGCCGUUGUGGAAAGUUUUUUCGGUGUGGGAUGAGCUCGCGGCCUAUCAGCUUGUUGGUGGGGUAAUGGCCUACCAAGGCGUCGACGGGUAGCCGGCCUGAGAGGGUGUACGGCCACAUUGGGACUGAGAUACGGCCCAGACUCCUACGGGGGGCAGCAGUGGGGAAUAUUGCACAAUGGGCGCAAGCCUGAUGCAGAGACGCCGCGUGGGGGAUGACGGCCUUCGGGUUGUAAACUCCUUUCGCUAGGGACGAAGCGUAUUUGUGACGGUACCUGGAGAAGAAGCACCGGCUAACUACGUG